rnacentral:lncRNA from 1 species
GGAAUUCUUUGGAUGAGUCAUGGCCAAUUUAUAAAUCACCAUUUAAGAAAAGCUUCAGUUUGAAACAUGCUUCUGAACCUCUAAAAGUAUUUUUCUAUUUCUUAACAAUAUUGGCUCUAGGAAAGUCUUUAAGAGACUAUGUUGAUAUAGAUAAAUUGUGUAGAUCCUUUCCUAUGUCCACGGCUGAUGAGGUCAUAGUGGAGAAGCUACUACUGUCUUGUCAAAUGGGCAAGGGUUCCUACUGAGCUGCUUUCUCAAUAUUUAUAUCUAUGCCCAUGUAUUAGUCCUACCUUUUGAAAUAUGCAUUGGCUGCUGCAUAGACUCAUAACAGGUCAAAGUUCUGAAAACAAAUGACCAUUGAAUGUUCAUCCCUAAAUAUGGCAUCUCUGCAGUGUUAUGGAGUAGAAGGCACCUCUCCUUGAGGACCUCUAGGCAAUUAACAGUUCCUGGGGAGGGGAAGAAAAUUUCCUCAGAGUUGUAGACACCCUUUUGUUGCUCAUGCUCCAGGAAGGAAGGAAAGGAAGGAAGGAAGGGAGGGAGGGAGGGAGGGAGGGAGGGAGGGAGGGAGAGAGGGAGGGAGGGAAGAAGGAUCGAGAAAUAGAGGAAAGAAGGAGGGGGGAUACAUGUUUUCUGCUUUCAUGUGGGGAGUGGGUAAACAU